GUCUAUGGCCAUAGCACCCUGAACAUGCCUGAUUUCAUCUGAUUGAGGAAGCUAAGCAGGGUCAGCCCUGGUUAGUUCUCAGACAGGAGGUACUGUAUACC
ensembl:rRNA 5S_rRNA 5S ribosomal RNA